rnacentral:misc_RNA from 1 species
CACCAACGCCUUCCCCCACCUCUGUGCCGCCGGCUCCGACGCCUUCCACCGCACCGACGCCGCUGGCUCCACCGCCUACCCCUCCUCGACGCCACUGGUCCUGUUCACGCCUUGAGCCCUCUACUGGACGUCAAGAGAAGUGCUGCCCUGCGAGUUCGAAUCCAGAGGCUCUCCAUGACUUCAUCUGUCUCUGGCUCUUCAAAAUCACCUCGUAAGCCUCCGGUGUCGUACCGGAAAUGGAUGGAUGCAGAUAAUCCUGUUUGUUGCAAGUGCUCAGGUGUUAUGUUGGAGCUGACCUCGUGGACCGAUUCCAACCCAAGCAGAGGAUUCCUUCGUUGCCAAAAGGGAUCAGAAGGGUGUAAUCUUUUCCAAUGGGUGAGUCCCCCCCCCUUUCGGACUUUGAUAAAAAACUGAUGUUACAAGUGCAGGAUAAGAUUUAUGCUUUGAGAGAGGCCAACAACGAUCUGAGAGACAGACUUGAUGAAUCGAACGAACGUGUGGUUGUGCAGGAAGCUGAGAUCGCCAGACUGAGAAUGCAGCUAGAGAAGAUCACUAGUGAUCGCCAGACUGAAAAUGAUUUCAGCUGUAGUGUUUGUUGUAAUCUUGUGUUUGCUCACGCGCUUGUUUCAACAUGGGGCUGUGGUCGACAGUAGCAAAUCUUAUGAACUGAUGUAGUUGUUUUGGUCAGCAAUGGAUAGCCAAGCAGUGGUGAACUGAUGUAGGUAUUUUGGUCAGCAGU